rnacentral:rRNA from 1 species
UUCUCCCUUACAGUAGGAACCGUGAGAGGGGGGGUGCCGAAAGGGACCAUAACACAGGUGUGCAUGGGUGUCAGCUCGUGUCGUGAGAUGUUGGGUUAAGUCCCGCAACGAGCGCAACCCUUGUCCUAGUUGUACGCAAGAGCACUUAGGGAGACUGCCGGUGACAAACCGGAGGAAGGUGGGGAUGACGUCAAGUCCUCAUGGCCCUUAUGGGUAGGGCUUCACACGUCAUACAAUGGUCGGAACAGAGGGUUGCCAAGCCGCGAGGUGGAGCCAAUCCCAGAAAACCGAUCGUAGUCCGGAUCGCACUCUGCAACUCGAGUGCGUGAAGCUGGAAUCGCUAGUAAUCGCGGAUCAGCAUGCCGCGGGAAUACGUUCCCGGGUCUGUACACACCGCCCGUCACACCAGGGGAGG